GACGAACGCUGGCGGCGUGCUUAACACAUGCAAGUCGAACGGAAAGGCCCUGCUUUUGUGGGGUGCUCGAGUGGCGAACGGGUGAGUAACACGUGAGUAACCUGCCCUUGACUUUGGGAUAACUUCAGGAAACUGGGGCUAAUACCGGAUAGGAGCUCCUGCUGCAUGGUGGGGGUUGGAAAGUUUCGGCGGUUGGGGAUGGACUCGCGGCUUAUCAGCUUGUUGGUGGGGUAGUGGCUUACCAAGGCUUUGACGGGUAGCCGGCCUGAGAGGGUGACCGGCCACAGUGGGGCUGAGAUGCGGCCCAGACUCCUACGGGAGGCAGCAGUGGGGAAGAUUGCACAAUGGGCGGAAGCCUGAUGCAGCAACGCCGCGUGCGGGAUGACGGCCUUCGGGUUGUAAGCCGCUUUCGCCUGUGACGAAGCGUGAGUGACGGUAAUGUGUAAAGAAGCACCGGCUAACUACGUG
rnacentral:rRNA from 1 species